GGGCUUGUACCGGUUUCGACGGGGGUUUGGAAAUCAGAAUAGCCAUCUGCGGUUCGGUUCCGCAUUAAACAGCCGAAACUAAAAUUAAACGCAAACAAUAGAACAGCGUUAGCAGCAGCCUAGUCUGCGCUUGUCGGCUCUGAAUUACUCGCGAUUCGGAAUCCCGGCAUCAAACUUGCGAGGCACUUUGUUCCCAAAGCUUUGAGGGAAUAAAAGAACUUAUGAAGCUACUAAAGUGUAGAGCCUGUCAUUAGGCGUUACAUGGAGGGAAUGUCAAAUUAAUGACUGUGAUGGAAGAAGUUUUGAUGAAAGGGCUUUCGGACGCGGGUUCAACUCCCGCCAGGUCCACUU
rnacentral:tmRNA from 1 species